UCUUGAGGAGGUAGUGAUGGUUUGUUCUUGAGGAGGUAGUGAUGGUUUGUUCUUGAGGAGGUAGUGAUGGUUUGUUCUUGAGGAGGUAGUGAUGGUUUGUUCUUGAGGAGGUAGUGAUGGUUUGUUCUUGAGGAGGUAGUGAUGGUUUGUUCUUGAGGAGGUAGUGAUGGUUUGUUCUUGAGGAGGUAGUGAUGGUUUGUUCUUGAGGAGGUAGUGAUGGUUUGUUCUUGAGGAGGUAGUGAUGGUUUGUUCUUGAGGAGGUAGUGAUGGUUUGUUCUUGAGGAGGUAGUGAUGGUUAGUUCUUGAGGAGGUAGUGAUGGUUUGUUCUUCAGGAGGUAGUGAUGGUUUGUUCUUCAGGAGGUAGUGAUGGUUUGUUCUUCAGGAGGUAGUGAUGGUUUGUUCUUGAGGAGGUAGUGAUGGUUUGUUCUUGAGGAGGUAGUGAUGGUUUGUUCUUGAGGAGGUAGUGAUGGUUAGUUCUUCAGGAGGUAGUGAUGGUUAGUUCUUCAGGAGGUAGUGAUGGUUAGUUCUUCAGGAGGUAGUGAUGGUUAGUUCUUCAGGAGGUAGUGAUGGUUAGUUCUUGAGGAGGUAGUGAUGGUUAGUUCUUCAGGAGGUAGUGAUGGUUAGUUCUUCAGGAGGUAGUGAUGGUUAGUUCUUGAGGAGGUAGUGAUGGUUAGUUCUUGAGGAGGUA